GUUCUCCUACAGGGUUGGCAGCUUUAUGUUGAAAGCUGCUCCGUAGCUGAGGCGGCAUAUGGACUGUUGACAGAGCAGCUGCUGGGGAAGAAGACGCUGAAAGGAAGCCUCAAGGGAUAAACAGAGAAACCCAUGUCACCACGUGGCACCCAAGGCGCACUGCUCAACGCCCAGCUCGCAGACUCUCAUCUCCUUCCGGUUUUCUCCCUGGUGAGCAAUAGCAGACCCAGAUGGUGGAUGGACCCAGAGUGGGAAGAAUCCUGAGAGAAGGACAGCCAGGUUUGACACAAACACCAGCAAUCCCAGGUGCUGCAAGUGAGUCCUGGCACAGCAAUUAGUCUUGUGGAAGAAGUGGGACACGUGAGAGAGCUAGUUAUGGAUGGACCCAACUCAGGAUGAAUGAAAGUUUUACUGCAGCAGGAGAUACCUGCCUGCAGCUACUGAAGAAGAAACCCAGUUUCCAUCCCAGCUUCUGCAGUUCCCGUGGCUCCCACAGCUAGGUACAAAAGGUUCUAUUAUUACCUUCAUUUUACACAAGAGGAAAAUGAAGUUCAGAGAAGGUAAGCCGUUUAUCCUAAGUUGCAUGGUAAGUGGCCAAGCCAGAAUGUGAUACCAGGUCUGACAGUUUCCAAAGGCCAUGUUCAAAAUUAUGUACCUUAUUACAUCUGAUAUAAGCAAAUAUAAUACUCUUCCAAAACUUUUUCUUCGAAUAGACGUUUCACUAAUUGAAAAUAUAUGGAUGGCAAAUAAGCACAUGAAAAGAUGCUCAACAUCAUUAGUCAUUAGGAAAAUGCAAAUUAAAAUCAUAGUAAGAUGCCGCCAUACUUACUAGAAUAGUUAGAAUUAAAAGACUGGCUAUACCUUAUGCUGGCGAGCGUGUGGAGGAAGUGGACUCUUAUACACUGCUGAUGGAAUGUAAAAUGGUACAAUUAACUUGGAAAACAGUUUGGCAAUUUCAUAAAAAGUUAAACAUAAAUUGAACAUAUGACCCAGCCAAUCUACUCUUAGGUAUUUACCAAGAAAAAUGAAAACAUAUGUCCUUAAGAGACUUGUAUAUAAUUGUUCAUGGCAACUUUGUUUGUAACAGCCCCAAACUGAAAACAACCUAGCAGGUGAAUGGACAAAUUGUGGUAUAUGCAUAUAAUGGAAUACCACUCAAUAAUAAAAACGAAUAAAUUUUUGAUACAUGCAGCAACAUGCAUGAAUCUCAAAACAAGUAUGCUGACUGAAAGAAGCCAGAUAAAAACAAGUACAUACUGUAUGAUCCCACUUGUAUAAGUGCUAGAAAAUGCAAUAAGAAGAACAGAAAGCAGUGGUUGCCUGUGUGUAUGUGUGUGUGUGUGUGUGUGUGGGUGUGUGAAGAGGGAUGAGAAGGAUAAUAAAGGAGUCCAAGGAAACUUUUAAGGGUGGUGGAUAUAUGUUCAUUGUCUCCAUUGUGGCGAUGGUUUCAUGGGAGUAUACAUAUGUCAGCUGUCAUCAAAUCGUAUGCCUUAAAUAUAUGCAGUUUAUUGUAGGACAGUUGUAUCUCAAUAUAGCUGUAAAACACAAAACUAAAUUCUGUGGGUAACUGCAUACCACAAGAGAUGACACUGGAGAAUUGUUCUUUUGCAUUGUCUUUUGGGAUUGCCCAUGGAAAUUAAACCAGUGGUGAAGGAAUGAGCUGAUUGAUCUUGUCUUGGCUGACUCAGAAUGGUGUAGCCAAAGAGAAAAAGAGAUAGGGAUGCAGUAUUGGCAAUUUAGAGACAGUCUCUUUACCUCCUAGAGCUUCAGCUUCCUCAUCUAUUAAAUGGGAUUGUCUCUUGUGCCCUGCCUUCCCCAUAAAGCUAAUUUAAGGAAAAGUAAGCGACCUGGCUCUCAAAUGUGAAUGACCAAAUUUCCCUGUUGAUAUAACAUGCAUUUGCCAAGCAUCUGGUGGCAAUCCCAGUCCUGGAUGCUGUAGGCCCACCAUGGGGGGAACUGGGAGCUUACAACUCUGCCUCUAGAACUGGCACAGGCCAUCUUUCUUCUGGUCUCUGCUCCUCUGUCAUUUUGUUACCAGACCCUGUUUGUCUGGUCCCUCAGACUCAUUCCUGUCUCUGAUCCCACCUGCUUUGCCUGGCCCAGUUGGCCUGACAUCACUCUCUGCAUUUUCUCCAGCUCCCCAUGGAUCCUCUGCAUUGAGCGACAAUAGGCUAGACCUGCCUACCCACCCCAAGAUCAAGGAGAGAUUGGCUCCCCUUGUUCAAGGUCACCCCAGGCACUGGGAAGACAGACCUGGAUGUCAAAGGGAACCCACAGUCUUGUGGGAGAGACAGCUGUGCCAGCACCUGUCCUGUGUGAUGAUCUAUGGUACAGGUGCCAUCUGCCACCCCAGGGGCAUGAGGGUGCAGGGGGCUUCUCGGAUGAGGAAAUGGCACAGCUGGACCCAGAAGGAUGGGUGAAUCCUGGCCAGAUAGAAGUAGGAGAACAUUCUAAAGAGAGGACAAGAAAUCCCCUGCCUCAAGGGCAAAGGCCUUGGGGUAUUGGGACACUGUGAAUGGCUUGAUGUGACCACAAACACACAGGAGGUGAGGCUGGAGGGUAAGCCAGAUUAUGGAAGUAAGGCUUGGUGCGCCAUAUGCCAAGGAGUUUGGGUUCGAAUCUGAAGGCACUGGGUACGUACUGAAUGGUUCCAAGCCAGGGUGUGACACUCCCAGUUCACUCAUUUGUGGGGUCCUUCUCAAAUCUAACCCAGAAGGGUUGCUUUCUCUCUAGAGCAGGGCUUUUUUUUUUUUUUUAAACAUCUUUAUUGGAGUAUAAUUGCUUUACAAAGGUGUGUUAGUUUCUGCUGUAUAACAAAGUGAAUCAGCUAUACAUAUAAAUAUAUCGCCUCCCUCUUGCAUCUCCUGCCUACCCUCCGUAUCCCAUCUCUCUAGGUGGACAC